rnacentral:rRNA from 1 species
UCUUGACCUCGGAAUCAAGUAGGGAUACCCGCUGAACUUAAGCAUAU